rnacentral:tRNA from 1 species
GCCUGAGUGGCUCAGUUGGUUAAGCCUCCAACUUUGGCUCAGGUCAUGAUCUCACAGUUCGUGGGUUUGAGCCCCGCCUCAGGCU